CGUACACUCCUACGGGAGGCAGCAGUGGGGAAUAUUGGACAAUGGGCGCAAGCCUGAUCCAGCCAUGCCGCGUGAGUGAUGAAGGCCCUAGGGUUGUAAAGCUCUUUCAACGGUGAAGAUAAUGACGGUAACCGGAGAAGAAGCCCCGGCUAACUUCGUGCCAGCAGCCGCGGUAAUACGAAGGGGGCUAGCGUUGUUCGGAUUUACUGGGCGUAAAGCGCACGUAGGCGGACUAUUAAGUCAGGGGUGAAAUCCCGGGGCUCAACCCCGGAACUGCCUUUGAUACUGGUAGUCUUGAGUUCGAGAGAGGUGAGUGGAAUUCCGAGUGUAGAGGUGAAAUUCGUAGAUAUUCGGAGGAACACCAGUGGCGAAGGCGGCUCACUGGCUCGAUACUGACGCUGAGGUGCGAAAGCGUGGGGAGCAAACAGUAUUAGAUACCCGAGUAGUCCC
rnacentral:rRNA from 1 species